rnacentral:tRNA from 1 species
GGCAGUAUAGCUCAGUGGUAGAGCAGGUGCUUAGCAUGCAUGAGGCCCUGGGUUCAAUCCCUGGUACCUCCA